rnacentral:sRNA from 1 species
UAACACGUGCAUCACGGCUCCGAAGGUCU